rnacentral:ribozyme from 1 species
CGAGCCGAAACAACGGAAUUCAUCGGUCCGGCAUAUCCGGGCAAGGCGAAAUGGUACGGCGGAAUCACCGGCAUCGAU